rnacentral:lncRNA from 10 species
AUGGUUUCAGGAGGAAACUGUUCCACCUCAGAUCAUCAGGCAUUCAUUAGAUUCUCAUAAGGAGUGCACAGCCUAGAUCCCUUGCAUGCACAGUUCACAAUAGGGUUCCCACUCCUAUGAGAAUCUAAUGCUGCUGCUGACCUGUCAGAAGGCGGAGCUCAGGCAUUAAUGCUUGCUGACUUGCCCACCACUCACCUUCUGCUGUGCGGCCUGGUUCCUAACAGGUCACAGACCAGUACUGGUCCAUGGCCCAGGGGUUGGGGACCCUUGGGCUAAAGGAUAUGGCUAACGAAAGGCCUUCAUAUGAUAGAAGGUUAAUGAGUGGCCCCAGAUCAUGAAAUGUUUUGAAUUUUAAAAAAU